AUGUUAAUUUAAUCUCAGAUAAACACUGACAACCAGCUGAGUUGAUCUCAUGUAUUGUGCUGCCCAUUCAAUACUCACCAAAGGCUGAGUCACAUCUGUACAUGUUUAUAAACCAUCUGGGCUUAUCAGGCUUCAGUGGAUUGGUCAGUGGUACAGGAAGUGAGUGGUAGAAGUUGCAGUUUGAAAACAUUAGAGCGGUUAAGCAAAUUACUGACUCUGAACUAAAUUGUCAGUAUAAUACUAAAGCAAAAUGAGGACUAAACUGUAGUGAAAAAAUGUCUUGCAGGGAGUACAGUGUCAAAAACAAUUUGUAUUUAAUACACAUAAUGUGGAAAUGAACAAUAAGUUUGUUGCAAAAGAGGUUCAAAUUGGCUCAGGUUUAACUGUGAUUUGGUCUCACCAAAUUCCUGUGUUUUUGGAAUUCUGCAGAACAGCAUAAAAGAUUAUGUCAUAGAAUAAGGGAGAAAGGUUGCUGGUGGCAUCACAAAUUUUCCCUUCUCGGUCCUCAAAAGCCACAUCACAAAUUGAAGAAUUUGUUUGCAAGAAAGCACAGUGUUGAAAAAAACAUGUUGUGAAAAAAUGAACUUUUUUAUAUUUGCUCUGUGUGCGCGCCCGGAUGAUGAGCACAAAGCGGUCCUUGACAAAGGAAAGCUGGAUUUGUUGAUAGAUUAUGACAUAGGAUGGGGGAGAAUCGUGGACCUGAACAAUACUGUGAUAGAGAGGAAUUCCUACUCAAGAAAGCAGUUUAAAAAACACAGUCAAUGUGAAAAAGUGAACUUUUUUAUUUUGGCCGUGUAUAAGAACAGUUUGUUUUUUAAAAAGUGCAUGUCUAUCAAAUUAUUUUGUAUGUAUAUAUAUUGAAUAUUUUUGUUGUUUGUCUUUAAAAGCUACAUUGUAUCUUAAAAGUAUCAUCAAAAUGCGGAACGAAAAUGCAUACAUUUUCCGCAUAAGUUCCACAUUUUUUGUGACUGCAGAAAAAAUGCGGGGAUUUUCAGCAUUUGUUCCGCAUUUGCAGAAGUA